rnacentral:rRNA from 1 species
GGGUCAGUAGGUUGGUCGUGCCACCGGUACGUACUGGUCUCACUGAUUCCUCCUUCCUAAAGAACCGUAAUGCCAUUAAUUUGGUGUUGCGGGGAAACAGGACUGUUACUUUGAAAAAAUUAGAGUGUUUAAAGCAAGCUAACGCUUGAAUACAUUAGCAUGGAAUAAUGGAAUAGGACGAUCGAUCCUAUUUUGUUGGUUUCUAGGAUUGACGUA